rnacentral:rRNA from 109 species
GUUGACCUCGGAUCAGGUAGGGAUACCCGCUGAACUUAAGCAUAUC